rnacentral:rRNA from 1 species
CCAGACUCCUACGGGAGGCAGCAGUGGGGGAUAUUGCACAAUGGGGGAAACCCUGAUGCAGCGACGCCGCGUGAGUGAAGAAGUAUUUCGGUAUGUAAAGCUCUAUCAGCAGGGAAGAAAAUGACAGUACCUGACCAAGAAGCCCCGGCUAACUACGUGCCAGCAGCCGCGGUAAUACGUAGGGGGCAAGCGUUAUCCGGAUUUACUGGGUGUAAAGGGAGCGUAGACGGUUAUGUAAGUCUGGAGUGAAAGCCCGGGGCCCAACCCCGGGACUGCUUUGGAAACUGUACGGCUGGAGUGCAGGAGAGGUAAGUGGAAUUCCUAGUGUAGCGGUGAAAUGCGUAGAUAUUAGGGGGAACACCAGUGGCGAAGGCGGCCUGCUGGGCUUUUACUGACGCUGAGGCUCGAAAGUGUGGGGAGCAAACAGGAUUAGAUACCCCAGUACAC